AAUACUGAGAACUGGGAUCUAGACAAGACUUCUGCAGAGCUGAAGCAGCAGAAAAAUACACGUAACACUCAUGCAGAAAUUGCCUUCUCCUCAGCAGACUAUGGUAACACUGUUAAGCUAAUACCAACUAUACUGAAAAUAUGUAAAACCAAGUAAACUCAGUUUUGAGUAUUUCUCGUUCCCUGCUACGUCAUCUUGGAUGUUGAGGUGAUAGUGGUGUUUGUUUUUGGUUUUUUUUUGACAAUUUCUUUAUAACAAAGUUUCCUCUGGGUCUUGCUUUUGUGGUUUGAAAUCAGUGCUUUGUGGCCUGCAAUGGCCCAGGGCAAGAUAAAUAAAAGUUGAAGUGUGUUUCGUCAGAGCUGGAUGAUAGUGGUGUCUUUAUCCUUUCCCUUCUCUCUGGCUGUAGAGAAAGGCACAGUGGUGAAAGGGUAUAUUGGGCAGUUCAGUGGUAGAAGACAACAAAUGUGAUGUUUGGUUUUUUUUUUUUUUGCUGUUCUCCCAUAGAGACCUUCAGAGGUAGAUCUGAAAAGCAGCUCAUGGAAAAAUUAGAAGAGCUGUGUGACAGGCAAUCCAGGACGCUGUCUUCACGCUGUAGAUGGCCAUCAGCCAAAAUCUCUGUUCAAGAACAGCAGAAGAACAAGGAUGUUGCCUUCCUCCCAUCUUCACCAAGUUCUCUGAGGAUGGACGCAGUGAGGUUACAGUGCCUGCCAGAGCCUCUAACUGUGUACAUAGAUUUAAGAGAUGCUGAACCACAGAAGUCGGUAACAUUCCCUGAUGAGAAACAGAGUGCAGAUGACAGCUCCACUGAUGAAGAUGAGACUAUGACUGUUAUGGACCAGGAAGAGAGGAAAAGCAGGAAGAAUUGCUCAGGGAAGUGUCAGCUACUGCAACAACUCCGUAGAGUCCGUAAAGAGGCCUCAGAGGUUCUUCACAAAGAAUCUGCCCCAGCUGGAAGACUCAAGGGCAUAAAACAGGAUCCAGAAAGUCUGGAAGAGAUGGAUGCCUUUAAAGUCAGUCGAAAUAAAAAUUUUGAAGUGAGAGAAGGGAUGAAUGAGUUCAUUUCCAGGAAACUGGUGAGGCUGGAGCCAGAAAAAAGAAAUUUCUCCUUGUCAAGCCAGAGAGACAAUGGAAAUGAUAAAGCUGAGAAGGUUCAACAUUCAGGAAAUGCUUCAGAAUCUCCUCUGCCUACAGAAGAAUUUCCAAGGACGGAAGAAAGUAACAGAGAGCUAUCCCAAAAGGAAGAACAGAUGAAAGAGAAACACGUGAAAUGCAGAUUCCAGGAGCAGCUGGAGAGAUGGCAGCCUCAGUCAGUUACUGGAAAGCAGCCCAUGGCAGAGAAAGCACCUGUUUUGUUCCACAUGGAAACCUCUUAUUUGCCAGUUGUUGACAGGUUGCCUGGACCGGACAGUAUGAGAGAUGAAGAGCUGCUGAUGACUGUCUGGCUGUCGAGUUGUGGCCGGGUACCCAGAGAUGAGAGCAGCGGGCGGAUGCACAGCACUGCACCGAGAGCAGCUGCCUUCUACCGUGCCCUUGUGGCAUGGCUUCUAUCUCUGGUGAGUUCAUGCAGUGACAGUGCACAAAAGAAGCUUCUGCGUGACAAAGGACGUGCUUUUCCCUCCAGUGGAUAGGUUCUUGAAAUUACCUUUUUCCAACAGCUGCAAAACAGCUGAGCAAAGGGGAAAUUAUGUCCUAACUUGCCUUAAAAUGAGUAAACCAAGUUCCAGCUGGAUCACACCUGUAUUUUGCAAAGAACAUGGUGCCGAAAGUAAAAUUAAAAAGUAAAUUUUUUUUUUUUUUUUUUUUAAGUUGGUGAGCUAAACUCAAAAUAAUCAGAAGCAACCAGUGAAAGCAGAGGACUAAUUAUUGUCCUCAUCGAAACAAUCAUUUCUUUUGCUUUUCUCACAACUUCUCAUUAAGAACAGAUCCUUUCUGAAAGUCAAGGGAGCUGUUAGUGAGUGAUGGUCUAUUUCAUCUUAAUUGUCCUCUGGUUCACACCUUUUUCCCUUCCAAAGAAAACCCCUUUUCCUCACUUCUAUUAAUCUGUUGUUACUCUUUUCUUCUAGGGGAAGAAAAAAACAAACUUCUUUUUUUCCUUCCCCACCCUCCUUGGUUGCUGGCCUCAUUCUUUUCCCUGGUUAAAGACACUGGUGUAUCAAUUCAUGCACUCAAGGUAAAUUUCACCCUGAGUGGACAGCAUGCACGUGGCUUUUAAGUCACUUAAGCUCCACUUAAACACUAUUAAUUGUUAACGAUGUUCACACUUCCAUUAAAACUUUGCUAUACCGUUCUGUAACUUUAGUUCAGUACUAAUGGAAAUUGCCACUUGAGCAGCCCCAGAGUCUGAAUCUUCCAUUCAGAAAAUAGUUAGCUCAUGACCAGCUGAAGUGUGAACUUUCUUCCCUUUACUCCCACAUAAAAAUCCUGAGCUCUGACUUGCAGCAGCUCUCUCCAAGCAUGAAAGGGUAUCUCAGCCUCCAGGGCUCAGUCUUGCUUACUGGACUGUAGGGUCAAAUGUUGUGAUGGACUUUGUGCCUCAUACAAACUGGGAUAAAAGCCACAAAUUGAUUUCAUAGAAUUGUAGCAUAUCCUGAGGUUCCCAAACAGCUGUUGGGUAGCGAUGAGAAUCUGCUUUUCUUUAAUGAAAAAGAAGUUCAAGCAUUUUAGACCCAAUUCUUAUCUGCACCUGUGUAAUUCCACUGUCUUGCUGGUGUCCUGGCACGUGUAAAUCAACAUAUCUUUAUUGAUUUUCUUGAAGAUGUGUUGAUUUCUAACAGUGGAGAACAUAGUCUUCCAAACAUAAGCAUUCCCCAGUAGCAGAAUUGCUAUGGAAGUUCCUUUGCAAAACCAGUGUUCAAAGCAGUCAAGGACUUGGUAGUGCUAUUAGGAGUGAUGCCACUGCCUCAAGUCUAUCUAUGAUGUGGUUUUACUGGAUUGGGAUGAUAAGGGUUUGACUGUUAGUAAUCACUUAUAUGAGUGAUGAAGUCUUGUUCUAAAGCCUGUACCAGCUCCUCAGAAUGAUGUAAUCAAUUAGCAUUGAUUUUUUUGAAUUAAGUUUGUAUUAUCUCAUUACAGUUAAUAAAGGCAGCACACAGCACCACUGUGACAUGACUGGGCGGUGUUGACAGGAACUCUGUUCUCAGUUCUUGCUACACUUGGGAGGAAAUGUAGGUUCUUCCUUUCACGUAGUGAAACUGGUGGAAGUUACAGUGUGCAAGUUAUGGGAGUCCUUGUUGGUAAAAUAAAUCCUUUGACUUACUAAAGCCUACAUUUAUUCCUAUUUAAUUUGUUGUUAUUGAUUUUCCUAUUGGCUGAACCUCAGCUAAUCCACUAAUCAAGCGAGGGUGCUCCCUGGAUUAUUAUACAUUAUGUGGCUCUACUCAAAAGAAUAGAGCAAGAUAAGGGGGUUAUCUCCAGCCUCUAAGUACAGCCAUCUAUAAAAAUGAAGUUCUGUUCAAAUGGAUUUACAGGUACCUCCUGUGAAAAUGGAAGGUGGACCCAAAGCUCCGUUUCAGGCAGUAUGUCUACAGCAGGCCUGGCAGGAGGACGGAUCGGCCCUGUCUGCUUGUGUAAGGCCAACAGAUGAAUCUCCAACCCAGCACUUGAUGCUGAUUAAAGAAAGGUUAAGGAAGAUUAAAGUAAGGAGCAUUUAAAUGUGCUAGUCGUGCAGAACUGCCAUAGGGUGUUACUACUACUUGUCACUAAGAACCAGGCUUGGGUGUGCCUAUUUAAGCUCAAAUCUCAGUGAGAAGGAUAGAAAAGUGUAAAUGCUGCUCUAAAUUAGAAUGAAGCCCAGUACUGUGGGAACUGAAGGACUGCUUGCAGCUAAUUGCCCACUCAGGCUGUCCUUGGUUAUGUGGUGCAGAUGAGAAACCAGCUCUAUACAGCAGAGUCUUUUGUUUCUGCUGCUCAUUAACUGUUAACGUGUUUUUUGGUGGCUGUAACCUCAUGGUGCAAAGAUCUGCCUGGAUCCAGAGGAGACCUAUCUUUGACAUGUAUUAUGCUUUGUGCUGUUAUUUUUUAACCACGUGAAGAGUGUGACUUAUGAGAGGGAAUACUGUCCUGCUAUUCAAGCUCCCAAGAGUCAGGGCCCAGAGAAAGGACCUGGGAUCCUGUUCCUUCUGUCCUGCCAGACUACAGUGUCUGUCUUGCACAACAAAACACCAAGCUGAAAGGUCUAGCACAAGCUGAAAUCUAGCAUGUGUAGGUGGCACGUUGUAACAUAAGGCAUGUUGUGAGCUUGUGUCCUGAAAACAGGGGAGAUUUGAUGUAGCAACUCUGGGCCAUAAUCUGUUGGUUCUGUUUUUCAUCAGAGCUAAUUUGGACAAGACUGAUUGUCUGAACAUCGUGAUGCAUCCGGUUUGUUUUCCUCUUUAAAUACUGCUUGUUAGGUACUGCCCUGAGACCUGCUGUGGCUUUGCUAAUCCUGCCUGGUGCAGACACCUGCCCUAUGUCGUAUUGAUGGGAGAUAUGCCAGGUGUAUUUGGUGAGCAGUGAGCUUUGCAUACCUGUGAUCUCCCACAAGUCACUUGCAUGAGUAAUGUUCCUGUUACUGAAUAAACUUACCCGAGAUGCUUGCCAAGUGCUUUGUUGGGUAUGCAAGUAUCUCCCAGCUCACUCAAAGUAACCUUUGUAGCUUUGGCAAACUGGGGCUGGGUUUUCUAUUCUUACCCAACAUAAUUCUUAAAUGGAAGAAGAGGUAUAAACAUGUUUUAAAAACAUGCUUAAGCUUCCUUUGUUCAGCUGCAGCAAGCAUUCUUUGCUUGCAACUGUCUGCCUCUGAGCAGUGAAGGUUGAAUUUCCCAUGAUGUAUCAUAAAGUAUGACAGCUGUGGCUCCAGUGUCGCACAAGUAAAUGAUUGAUGCUGGCAACAAAUGUCAUGAUUAAAAUACUACUGGAAAAAAAAAAAAAACAAGCCCAAAACAAUAAGCAACUUUUCUGUCAUUGCCCAUCCAUCUGUCGGAGAAAGCUGCAGGGCUAAUGAGAGGGAGCACCCUGCUGGACUGGACAAGGGCUUGAUGUUGGUUGCUGUCUAAGGUGACUGAGCUCAAGAAGCAUUCUGUGAAACAAAGAAAAUGGAGGAACAGAGACUGACCUGCCUUGUUGCUCUCUAAUUUCAAAUGGGGAGUUGGCCAAGGCAUCAAAAUUGUUGAGCACUGAGUGUGCUCAAAGUAUGUAUCCAGUGUCAAGUAAUUGAACGAUCUUCUGAAGCUGCAAGCUCAGGUUGCACCCAGCAUUUGGUUGGAGCUGGGCAGGGUUGUAUCACUGGUUGGCAGAAUGAGCCACGUGGAGUUUCCAGUCCGUGUAUAAAUUGUAAAUGCUGUUUUACUGCCCUGUUUACAUUCAUGGACAGUGCUGCUGAGUUCAGCUGCUAUGGGGGCGAGGUGAAUGUGCCACUCAUUCAAAUGGUGUUGCUCAAAGCAGGACUAUGUGUAACUGAGGUUUUCUCUCAUUAGAAG
ensembl:lncRNA